rnacentral:rRNA from 1 species
GACGAACGCUGGCGGCGUGCCUAAUACAUGCAAGUUGAGCGCUGAAGGUUGGUACUUGUACCAACUGGAUGAGCAGCGAACGGGUGAGUAACGCGUGGGGAAUCUGCCUUUGAGCGGGGGACAACAUUUGGAAACGAAUGCUAAUACCGCAUAAAAACUUUAAACACAAGUUUUAAGUUUGAAAGAUGCAAUUGCAUCACUCAAAGAUGAUCCCGCGUUGUAUUAGCUAGUUGGUGAGGUAAAGGCUCACCAAGGCGAUGAUACAUAGCCGACCUGAGAGGGUGAUCGGCCACAUUGGGACUGAGACACGGCCCAAAAUCCUACGGGAGGCAGCAGUAGGGAAUCUUCGGCCAUGGACGAAAGUCUGACCGAGCAACGCCGCGUGAGUGAAGAAGGUUUUCGGAUCGUAAAACUCUGUUGGUAGAGAAGAACGUUGGUGAGAGUGGAAAGCUCAUCAAGUGACGGUACCUACACAGAAAGGAACGGCUAACUACGUG